UACAGAGGUCCCAAGCGUUGUUCGGAUUCACUGGGCGUAAAGGGUGCGUAGGCGGCAGGGUGAGUUUGAUGUGAAAUCCCCGGGCUCAACCCGGGAACUGCAUUGAAUACUCUCCUGCUAGAGGAUCGGAAGGGAGACUGGAAUUCUCGGUGUAGCAGUGAAAUGCGUAGAUAUCGAGAGGAACACCAGUGGCGAGGGCGAGUCUCUGGACGAUUCCUGACGCUGAGGCACGAAAGCUAGGGGAGCAAACAGG
rnacentral:rRNA from 1 species